AUGGAACUCUUUUACCAGUGAAGAUAAGAAUGUAAAUCUACUUUCUUUUUUCUGCUGCAGAGACUGAAACCGGGAAAGAGGGAAUGACUUUUAAACACAAGAGCACAGAAAAGGGAAUUGGAAUCAGGAAAUGAACCUGCAGACAAGGAGUUUAAGAGCAUUUUAAUUUUUACAGACAAAACCCAGUAUACAAGACACAACUGAAAAAGAGGAUUGUUAUCCAAAGAGAAAGCUAGCGAAGGUUUGUGUCCCAAAAGGAGAACUGAACAAGAGAAGACUCAACUAUGCUACGUCCUUGGAAGUUGUCCUGAACCCAUUACAUGUACCGCCUUGAGUAUAUGCUGGACAAUUGCAAUUCAUGUUGGCAAUAUCAACAUCAUACAGCUUUUCAGGACUGCUUUGAGAAGGAACUCUACAUUCUGUCCUUGUGACCCACUGCGAAUAAAUCAACCUGUAGGCAUCCCUUGAUGCAAUCCAGUUUUAUGACAGCCAUGCAUAGUGAUUUGGACGAUUUUCAACAGAUAAUUUCAUUCCAAACCAUUUUUAUGCUUGGGAACAAUAUGUUUAUACUGUUUCUUCUUCUUUUUUUCCUUUCUUCCCCGAAUUUUUUUUGUCCGCAAUUGUUCUGAUAGAACCGCUCAUCCGAUUGAGAUGAAACCGUUUUAGGGUUAAUAGGCAUGUUGUGUAGAUGUACAGAAUGAUGGCCAUUUUGCACUCACAUGCAUGAAUGUGUUUGAGCAUAUGCGAUGAUUUAAAUCACUGCUAUAAUUGAAAUAGUUUUAACUUUCCCAUUUUUUUAAAAAAUGCUUUGAAACCCAGAAUAUUGACAUACAUUAGUAGUGGAAACAAGACUAUGUGGUUGAAUUAGCAAGAAAGCCCGGGAUGCACUUGCGCUUCACUCUGAUAGGCUGACAAAAAAAAUCUUUCUUUCUUCUUUUUCUUUUCUUAAAAAUAUGCUUUGAAAUUUAAAAUAUAGGCAUAUAUCAUGAGGUUCUACAAUUUGAAAUAUAAUAAAUUUCUUUAAAACAGCAACUUUGAUUGCAAGAUUGGUAUUAUGUGUUCCCACAGUAUGGUACUAUCAAAACUUAACAGAAGAACAUGUAUGUACAUGUGCUGAAUUCUGAUUGGCUAAUACUUAAAUGGAUAUAGGCUUAUACUUCAAUGGAUGCAUCUCUCACAGUUCAUUUCUCAAUGUAAAUCUUUGAGACUUAACACAUAGAAAUUUAUUGUGAGUCUCUUUAAGAAGAUAUAAAUGAGAAAUCUAGAAAAUAUGUGCUUGCACAUGCACUGAAAUUAUACCGAUGUUAUUUUUCGAUAAAUACUUUGGGAAAAAUGUAGAUAUAUUUACAAAUAAAAUCAUUGAAGCUGGUAUGGAAUGGGGUAACAUAGGUUAUGAGAUUGAUCACUGUUCGUUAUCUUCACCUUGCAUAGAGGAGCUGUAUUGGAACAUCUGCAAGGAAUACCGUUACAAUGAGCACUACUUAUUACCGUAUUAUUAUUUUUCUUAAUCAUGUAUAAUAUAUUUUUUUCUGUUAAUAUUGAAUUUCACGAAAAACGAUUUUUGAUCAGUAUUAUAUCAAAUUGUACAUUUUUGUCAACACAGUGUGUGCUAGUUUGGUGGGUCUAAAUGACAAAAUCUUGUUGAUGUGAAAAAUGUCAUUUAUUAAUGUAAAUGACAGGUAAUAUGCAAUGGUAAAUACAACCAAUAAUAAACAAGAUAUACAUGAUGAAA